rnacentral:lncRNA from 1 species
UAAUGUCUUCUUGUGGUCAAACAGGCAAGAUGGUGGCGAGUGAAUAGUUGAAUUAUAUUUUAUUUAAAUAAAGUUACGGCCCUAAAUAGUUUUUGUUAAAUACUGAAUAUCUAUUUUGUAUAAUGAAUAACUUGAAAAUUGCAUUAACAGUGUAUAUUUUAAUUGCAUUUAACCAUGUAUAAUUUUAGCCAUAUAUUCAUGCUUGUGUUUAUGUUUUUUCAACUCUUUAGAUGGAAGAUGUCUUGAAAGCAUUGCAAACGAAGCUGUGGGAGGUUGAAUCAAAAUUGUCCUUUAUGAGCUGCAAAAGCUGAACUCUGUUCCAUGUUGCGUGUCUCUUGUUCUUUCCCAUCCAUUAUGUCUUAAAUGAGAAGAAUUGUAGAAUCAUUUCUGCAGCUGUAUUUUAUGGCAAAGAGGUGAUUAUUUCCCACAUUAGAAUUUUUAAGCUAUUUUGUGAUACUUGCUGGAAUUGAAAUUUAGGAGUUUGUAUUUUGAUAAGAAACUGGGCUGAGUUUUUAGAAUUAUUUUCUUUCUGUGUCAGACUCAUUAUUAUUGAUUUUCUAUUUUUUAAAGAAUAAUUUUGCUUUUAAUACUUUGGACAGUGGGCUGGGAUUGUGGCUCAGCGGUAGAGUUCUCAUCUAACACGUGCAAGGCCCAGGGUUCAAUCCUCAGCACCACAUAAAAAUAAAUAGAUAGAAUAAAGAUAUUAUGUCCAACUACUUCUAAAAAAUAAAUGUUUAAAAAAAUACUUUGGACAGUAUUAAAUAGUGAAUGGUAAAAAUCUUAAAGAGUUCUCUCUCUCUCUCUCUCUCUCUCUCUCUCUCUCUCUCUCUCUAUAUAUAUAUAUAUAUAUAUAUAUAUAUAUAUAUAUAUAUUUAGUUGUAGAUGGACACAGUACCUUUAUUUUAUUAUUAUUUUUUUAUGGUGCAGGGGAAUCGAACCCAGUGCCUCACGCAUGCUAGGCAAGUGCUCUACCACUGAGCCACAGCCCCGGCCCUUAAAGAGUUUUUUCUGCAUCUUGCGUGAUUGAAUCUUCUUUAAAAACUAAUGCUUAAAGUUCUCUGGAGAACCUGUCUAUUGAGUUAUUUGUCAGAACCAUGUGGAAACUUAGACAAGAACAGAGUAGCACAAAUGUAUAUAAGGGUCCCACUUUAUGCUACUUAUUUACUACUGUAUGCUAAUGAAAUUUAUCAGAGAGUAAUAAGUAUCUCUAGGGGUAGGAUUCUGGGAGAAUUUUUUUUUUUUUUUUUUGGUUUUCUGUAGUGUAAGACAUUUAUUAAUAGUAAGCAUGUAUUAUUUUUAUGACCAGGAAGAGAAUAAAGAUUAAAACAAAGUGCUCUAAGAUUGAUUUUUACGAGCUGAAUCGUGGUAUUUGAGGUCAGAAAUCCUGGUGCCAUGGAAUUUGCAUACUCGCUGAGCAUGGAACCAUGGCAGGCCUCUCAGGAAUGUAAAGGUGACCCCAGAUUUCCCCAGGGCUCUCUUUGUUUCUGGAUGCAAAUGAAGUCACAUAAAAAUAUGUACAAGUACUUCUCUUAACUUCUGCUUAGAAGUUCUAAUAUUCCUGAGAAUAACAGAAUUAUUGUGUCAAUGUCCCAAGUCAUAUUGUCUUGUCAUUCAAAGUCCUAGUGUAACUGCUUUAUUAGCCAUGUGGCCUGGGGCCCAUCAAUUUGAUUCUCUUUUUCUCAUCUGUAAAAUAAUUACCUACCUUUCUUACAUCAAGGAUGAUCAAAUUAGAAGAUGUACUUGAUCGUACUUUGAAGACAGGCAUCACAAAAAUAAAUGAUAAAGAUUUAGUCCUCAGGAGACUUGACUUGAUUUAACUUCUAGCUGGCUAUAAAGGCCAGUUUGAAUUGUCAACUUGAUUGGAUUAAGAGAUGCCAACGAUUAAGAGGUUUAUGGGUAUGUGGGUGAGAGUGUGUCUAGGAAUGAUUGGCAUGUGGGAUAGCCAACUGAAAUGGAGACCUCCCUAAGCAAGGACAGCACCAUCCUAUAGGAUGAUGGCUUGGAUAGAAUAAAAGAAGAGCAAGGAAGCAGAUGCAAGCUCCAUUCUUUUUGAACAACUUCUUGAUUGCUGCUGUGAUCAUCUGAGGAUAUCGGCUCUUGCUUUUUCACUCUUCCAAAGCGUACUCUGCCAGUGAUUCUUCAGAAGCCUUCCAUCUUGUGCUAGGGUAGCUUGUUGAUCCCUCUUGUUCUGGGGCUUUAGCCUCUUGGACUUCGAAGCUACUGAUUCUUCCAGCUCUCUAGCUGGCAGAUGGCCAUUGUGGGUUAUCCAGCAUGUGGUAUCUUAGGACAACCUAAUAAAUCCCCUUUUUAUGAUUAUACUUCCUGCUGAUUUUGUUCCUGUAGAGAGAACCCUAAUACACUGGCCUACCCAUAAGAUUGGUGGAUAUGAAAGAAAAAAAAAAUGCACUCAAUUAUCUAGUUUCUUUUCCAGUUACAAAUAUGUGAACAUUGAGGAAAUUUUAAAAAAUAGGAAAAUAGUGGAAAGAAAAAAAUAAAACCACAAGUCUGACAAAGAUAAUUAUGAUUCACACUUUUGAGUGUGGCCAUUUUAAUAUGGGAAUUUGGGAUCAUACUGGACAUAAUUACUUUUACUUAAAAUAUUUCCUGAUAUAUUUCUACAUUAUUAAAUAGAGGUUGAACAGCCGUAAUAUGAAAAUCCAAGAUUUGAAUUGCUCCAAAAUGUAAAAAAAACCUUAAAAUCUAAAACACUUCUAAGUCCUAAACACUUUGGAUAACGAAUACUCAACCUAUAAUCCCUUAUACCCUGAGUUUUGUCUACUUAUAAUGAAACAUCAUAUUUAAAAACUUGUCCAAGGGGCUGGGGAUGUGGCUCAAGUGGUAGUGCACUCGCCUGGCAUGCGUGCGGCCCGGGUUCGAUCCUCAGCACCACAUACAAAAAACAAAGAUGUUGUGUCUGCCGAAAACUAAAAAAUAAAAGACCUC